rnacentral:rRNA from 1 species
UCGAACGCUUCUUUUUCCCCGUAGCUUGUGCCUCGGAUUAACAGGAAUGGCAAACGGGUGAGUAACACGUGGGUAACCUGCCCAUCAGAAGGGGAUAACACUUGGAAACAGGUGCUAAUACCGUAUAACAAUCAAAACCGCAUGGUUUUGAUUUGAAAGGCGCUUUCGGGUGUCGCUGAUGGAUGGACCCGCGCUGCAUUAGCUAGUUGGUGAUGUAACGGCUCACCCCGGCCACGAUGCAUAUCCGACCUGAAAGGGUGAUCGGCCACAUUGGGACUGAGACACGGCCCAAACUCCUACUGGAGGCAGCAGUAGGGAAUCUUCCACAAUGGACAUGGACAACAAUGG